rnacentral:rRNA from 1 species
ACACGGGGGGCGCAAGCGUUAUUCGGAAUUAUUGGGCGUAAAGGGCGCGUAGGCGGUCUUGUCGGUCAGAUGUGAAAGCCCAGGGCUCAACCUUGGACGUGCAUUUGAAACAGCAAGACUUGAGUACGGGAGAGGAAAGCGGAAUUCCUGGUGUAGAGGUGAAAUGCGUAGAUAUCAGGAGGAACACCGAUGGCGAAGGCAGCUUUCUGGACCGAUACUGACGCUGAGGCGCGAAGGCGUGGGUAGCGAACAGCAUUAGAAACCCCGGUAGUCC